rnacentral:rRNA from 1 species
AACGAACGCUGGCGGCAUGCCUAACACAUGCAAGUCGAACGAGACCUUCGGGUCUAGUGGCGCACGGGUGCGUAACGCGUGGGAACCUGCCCUUAGGUUCGGAAUAACUCCCCGAAAGGGGUGCUAAUACCGGAUAAUGUCUUCGGACCAAAGAUUUAUCGCGUUUGGAUGGGCCCGCGUUGGAUUAGCUAGUUGGUAGGGUAAAAGCCUACCAAGGCGACGAUCCAUAGCUGGUCUGAGAGGAUGAUCAGCCACACUGGGACUGAGACACGGCCCAGACUCCUACGGGAGGCAGCAGUGGGGAAUAUUGGACGAUGGGCGAAAGCCUGAUCCAGCAAUGCCGCGUGAGUGAUGAAGGCCGUAGGGUUGUAAAGCUCUUUUACCCGGGAUGAUAAUGACAGUACCGGGAGAAUAAGCUCCGGCUAACUCCGUG